rnacentral:tRNA from 1 species
GCCAUGUUAGGGGAAAGACAACCAGUGCUAAUUUAUUCCUAAUCCAUGUGCCGCGUGUUCGAGUCACGCCGGGGGCACCA